rnacentral:lncRNA from 1 species
GGAGUAUGACACUCCCCGACGAGCAAGGGAAGUACACUCACUCCCCAGGACGGCUCCGCAGACGCAGACCGAAGCUUAUGGUGGGAGGGUGCAUUCUAGGAAGAGGAAAUGGGGGGAACCCUUGCAGCUGUUCCACCUGAAUAGUGGAGAGAGGUGUGUGGCCACGCUGAAACCUGAAACCAUAACGUAAGAGCCCAAGGGAGACUGGAAACUCUACAGCCAUGAACUAAAAGCAGCGUGUGUCAGCCGCAGAAUCGGAUAACACAACCAAACCACAAAUGUGCCUGCCGCUCAGGCUUUAAAGUUCUACAGCAGAGCAGGACCCACUGUGACUUACUUUGUGUGAUGGAGUCAAACCACAUUUUUUUUCUUCUUUUUCUCAUCAGACUUCACAGGAAAUAUACGUCUUUGUUCAGAUUUGAGAUAAGAUCCUGGAGGCUGAGGUCUAGAUCGGUCGCCAAGGAUGGGAUCCAGGAGAAAACGUGCUGAACGUGCAGCUUGCUCCUACCGAUUACAGCCCAGCAGAUGACAUAGUUCCACUGUGCUCUAGUCCAUUGUGGGAAUUAUGGCCCUCAUGCCCGGCGUCUGUCACAACCCAAUAUUUGGUGUUAUAACCCCUGCUCCCACCCCCCAGCACAUCUCAGAAGUGCCGUUACCCUCUCAGUCACAUCCCAGAAACUGUGUUGCCUUCACGGUUACUCUUGUUUAUGCUUGAGAGCACUCGGAGGCCUUUCCAUAUCUAAAGCCUGCAUUCAGUGCUACCCCCUGCAGGAUUUGGAUACAUUUCCCCGUCUGGUCCUAAUUCUGUUGAAUGACAUCAUUUAUCCGUAUUCCCACCCAGAGAUGGGCAGAUUUCUUGUAACCUGAAUAGAUACCAAAGAAUCCCAAAGGACCUGGGUGGGUACUUCUAUUUAUGGGCUCAUUGGAUCUUAUUCUUUCCUCUCCGCCUGUUUUAAUUCAAAUCGGGGGGACCAUUUGAUUUCUCCAAUAGAAACAGAAAGAAAUUGAAGACAGAGAUGAACACAGAUCAAGAGCCCAGGUUUCUUGAUAUCUAAUACUAAUAUACUGAUGGAGUUAAACAUUCCAAGGUACGAAUGUGUCCAGAAACAGUUUUAACCUUACCCUGGGUUUCCAUCAGUGAAACCAAGUUAACAUCUGGCAAAAGAUAGCGAUCUAGCCUCAGGGGUUUCAGUCAAGUUGCGCUUAAAAGAAUGCCUUAAAAUCUGUAGUUAUGGUGUCAAAUAUAAUAAAUCUUCACCAGCUCAUGCACGUACAAGUCUGAAAUGUUUCAUAAAAGGUUUAGAUGACCUGAUAACAUGUUUCUAAAACCCAGAGAGAAAGAGAGAGACUGAUACAAACGUCAAGUUAAAAACAAGAAAGUAAAAUUAGUUUCAUAGAUUGGGGUUGAUAAGGGGAAUCUCUGUCCUCUAUGCUCUAAUCUUAGCCCACUACCUCCUUUCCUCUAUCUCCUCUGGUGGAUAUGCUUGCUAUCUGUCCUCCCCUCCGACUCUUUGGCUAGCCUUAUAGCCUAUAAUUUCCUUCAGAGAUGUAGUGAAAUUAAAUGAAAUUAAGAGCCUGCUUAAUGCAAACAGGACCAAAGGGCACAGCUCUUUAUCGUAAUGAACUUCAUUCUGAUUAAGUCAGGGACUGCAAGUGCUUACUAUUUACCCAGUAAAUAUAUUAAAUUGCUAGGCUAGUCUCCCUUCUGUCCUGACACUGCCAGGGAAUAUUUGAAAGUCGGAUAUAAGAUCCAUUUUAGACCAUCAAACAUCCCUUCUAAUUCUAUCAUCUCUCUUUAUGUUUCCAGGAAUAUAGCAUGUCUUGGUCUCUGAGAGCCAAUAUAUCUGGGUUACACUGAAAGAGGAAUAACGAGAUAAUAUUUACACUGUACAUUGAAGAUGACCUGAAAAGCUGGAAGAGGUGACUGAGGGCAUUUUCUCAGUGUGGAUGAAGAAGAGGGGAGGAAGGUGAAAGAUGACAGAAUAUCUAAGUGCCUAGAUUUGAUUCUAGCAUAUGAACCCAUUUUAUGAUUCUGUCCAAGGGCAUCAGUUAUAACCUCCAAAUUUCCAUGUCCUUCUCCAUCUCCCAGUCUUAGAAUUUUUUUUUUUUUUUUUUUUUGAGACAGAGUCUUGCUCUGUCACCCAGGCUGGAGUGUAGUGGCAGGAUCUUGGCUCACUGCAACUUCCACCUCUCAGGUUCAAGUGAUUCUCCUGCCUCAGCCUCCCAAGUGGCUGGGAAUACAGGCGCCUGCCACAACGUCUGGCUAAUUUUUGUAUUUUUAGUAGAGACAGGGUUUUGCCGUAUUGGCCAAGCUAGUCUUGAACUCCUGACCUCAAGUGAUCUGCCCACCUUGGCCUCCCAAAGUGCUGCUGGGAUUACAGGCGUGAGCCACCGCGCCUGGCCAGUUCUUUCUUUUUUUUCUUUCUCUCUCCUUUCCCUCCCUCCCUCCUUCCUUCCUUCCUUCCUUCCUUCCUUCCUUCCUUCCUUCCUUCCUUCCUUC